GCAGUAGCCGCGGUAAUACGUAGGGUGCGAGCGUUAAUCGGAAUUACUGGGCGUAAAGCGCGCGCAGGCGGUUUUUUAAGUCUGGUGUCUAAGUGCGGGGCUCAACCCCGUGACGCACUGGAAACUGGGAGACUUGAGUGCAGAAGAGGAGAGUGGAAUUCCACGUGUAGCGGUGAAAUGCGUAGAGAUGUGGAGGAACACCAGUGGCGAAGGCGACUCUCUGGUCUGUAACUGACGCUGAGGAGCGAAAGCGUGGGGAGCGAACAGGAUUAGAUACCCCUGUAGUCCCUGUCUCUUAUACA
rnacentral:rRNA from 1 species